CCUACGGGAGGCCGCAGUGGGGCAUAUUGCACAAUGGGGGAAACCCUGAUGCAGCGACGCCGCGUGAGUGAAGAAGCGUUUCGGCGCGUAACGAUCUGUCAGCGGGGAAGAAACACGGUUCGCGAGCGCCGCGGACGGUACACGACCCAGAAGGCCCGGCUAACUACGUGCCAGCAGCCGCGGUAAUACGGAGGGGGCACGCGUUAUCCGGAUUAACUGGGUGUAAAGGGAGCGUAGACGGCGAGACAAGUCUGGAGUGAAAGGCCGGGGCCCAACCCCGGGACUGCUCUGGAAACUGCCUGGCUGGAGUACAGUAGAGGUAAGUGGAAUUCCUAGUGUAGCGGUGAAAUGCGUAGAUAGUAGGAGGAACACCAGUGGCGAAGGCGGCUUACUGGACUGUAACUGACGUUGAGGCUCGAAAGCGUGGGGAGCAAACAGGAUUAGAUACCCCGGUAGUC
rnacentral:rRNA from 1 species